GGGAGGAUAGCGAAGAGGUCAAACGCAGCUGACUGUAAAUCAGCUCCCUUCGGGGUUCGGCGGUUCAAACCCGUCUCCUCCCACCA
rnacentral:tRNA from 1 species